rnacentral:rRNA from 1 species
UGGGUAACCUGCCCUUAACUCUGGGAUAAGCCUGGGAAACUGGGUCUAAUACCGGAUAUGACUCCUCAUCGCAUGGUGGGGGGGUGGAAAGCUUUAUUGUGGUUUUGGAUGGACUCGCGGCCUAUCAGCUUGUUGGUGAGGCAAUGGCUCACCAAGGCGACGACGGGUAGCCGGCCUGAGAGGGUGACCGGCCACACUGGGACUGAGACACGGCCCAGACCUCCGUACGGGAGGCAG